rnacentral:rRNA from 1 species
AGGAGUUUGAUCAUGGCUCAGAACGAACGCUGGCGGCAGGCUUAACACAUGCAAGUCGAACGGAUCCUUCGGGAUCAGUGGCGGACGGGUGAGUAACGCGUGGGAACCUACCCUGGGGUGGGGAAUAACCUUGGGAAACCGAGGCUAAUACCGCAUACGCCCUAUUGGGGAAAGACUAUGUUGCCCUGGGAUGGGCCCGCGUCCGAUUAGCUAGUUGGUGGGGUAAUGGCCUACCAAGGCUGCGAUCGGUAGCUGGUCUGAGAGGAUGAUCAGCCACACUGGGACUGAGACACGGCCCAGACUCCUACGGGAGGCAGCAGUGGGGAAUAUUGGACAAUGGGGGCAACCCUGAUCCAGCCAUGCCGCGUGAGUGAAGAAGGCCUUAGGGUUGUAAAGCUCUUUCACCCGUGACGAUGAUGACGGUAGCGGGAGAAGAAGCCCCGGCUAAUUCCGUG